ACCCCAGACUCCUACGGGAGGCAGCAGUGGGGAAUAUUGGGCAAUGGGCGCAAGCCUGACCCAGCAACGCCGCGUGAAGGAAGAAGGCUUUCGGGUUGUAAACUUCUUUUCUCAGGGACGAAUAGAUGACGGUACCUGAGGAAUAAGCCACGGCUAACUACGUGCCAGCAGCCGCGGUAAUACGUAGGUGGCAAGCGUUAUCCGGAUUUACUGGGUGUAAAGGGAGCGCAGGCGGCGCGCCAAGUCUGGUGUGAAACCCCGGGGCUCAACCCCGGGACUGCAUUGGAAACUGGCGGGCUGGAGUGUCGGAGGGGCAGGCGGAAUUCCUGGUGUAGCGGUGAAAUGCGUAGAUAUUAGGAGGAACACCAGUGGCGAAGGCGGAUUGCUGGACAGUAACUGACGCUGAGGCGCGAAAGCGUGGGGAGCAAACAGGAUUAGAUACCCCAGUAC
rnacentral:rRNA from 1 species